GGUUUUUUUUUUUCUAAACUGUACUUUAUUUUCUUUUAAAGACAUAUGUUUUAAAACAGCGAUUGUAGAGAAUAAAUAAAGAAACAUGUUUUUGUUUUUUUUUUUUACUUCCAUAGGUACAUUUAUGUAAUUAAAAACUCUAUAAUAAGUGUGUUCAUUGUCUUGAAGACCACGAGGAAUCCUCCUAUUUUUUUCUUCUUCUUAAAUUAAAAAGAAAUUGUCACAUCUCCCCACCGCCAUCAGAUUGAUUACCAAAUAAAUUAAAACGUAAAAAAUCAAGAUAGAAAAAUUCCCAGCCCUUCCUUUCCUCUUUGUUAAUUUUUAAAAGUAGUGGCAGCAGAGAAUCUGAAGUUUUGAAGUCCUCCGUUUUUAGAACUAAGGUAUGUACACAGCGAGAAGAAAUCCGUCCCUCUUCCAGUUUAAUUACCCCAUGUUUUUUUUCUUUAAAUUUACGUAUAAAUAAUAAAACUAACUCUACAUAACAAUAUUACCAAUGGUAAUCAUACAGAAUAGUAUUUUCUUUUGCCUCCGGCUGUGUAGACUGGCCCUCUGUUAACGCCAUAGACCACAAAUCACACUAUACAGUAGAACCCUGUUCAGUAGAAUAACAUCAGUGAUAUGCUUUUUCUUAACAUGUAUAUCUUGUUGCCGACAAUAGAAUAUGUACAUAAUAUAAAUGAAUCCAGCUGUGGAAUGAUAGGAACUCUGGAGCACUUCUGGAUAUUGCAAAUGCUGAUUCUGUUCGAUGUAUUUGUUGCUGACAUUACUGCUGCUGUAGUUUCUUUUCUCUUUUUUUCUUUCUUUUUUAAUUCUGUAAGCGCAUACACGUGAUACUGCUUUUUGUGAAGUGUUGCUCCUGUGCUAUACGGUUGGUCAAACAACCAAAAAAGGCUGGGACAUCCCAAGUGGUUUUCUUGAUUGAACUCUUAGGUUUUCCUGGAGGUGAAGGAGAGAGAGAGAGAGGAAAAAAGAGAGAGAGCACAGAGCGUUUUAAAGCAAAUCCCAGAAAUGAAACACAUAAAUUCAACACUUUUGGAAGUGGAGUAAGUGUCUGCAAUACACAACUGCUU
ensembl:lncRNA